GCCAGGUGUAGUGGUGCACACCUAUAAUCCCAGGAUCUCAGGAGGCUGAGGCAGGAGGAUCACAGGUUCAAAGCCAGCCUCAGCAUUUUAGAAAGGCCUGAAGCAAUUUAGUGAGACCCUGUCUCAC
rnacentral:sRNA from 1 species